UCCUACGGGGGGCAGCAGUGGGGAAUAUUGGGCAAUGGACGCAAGUCUGACCCAGCAACGCCGCGUGAAGGAAGAAGGCUUUCGGGUUGUAAACUUCUUUUACGGGGGAAGAGCAGAAGACGGUACCCCUUGAAUAAGCCACGGCUAACUACGUGCCAGCAGCCGCGGUAAUACGUAGGUGGCGAGCGUUAUCCGGAAUGAUUGGGCGUAAAGGGUGCGCAGGCGGCGCGUCAAGUCUGAAGUAAAAGGUACAGGCUCAACCUGUGCAGGCUUUGGAAACUGGCG
rnacentral:rRNA from 1 species